AAUCAACGCUGGCGGCGUGCCUAACACAUGCAAGUCGAACGAGAAAGGGUAGCAAUACCUGAGUAAAGUGGCGCACGGGUGAGUAACACGUGACUAACCUACCCUGGAGUGGGGGAUAACUGAGGGAAACCUUAGCUAAUACCGCAUAAUACCUACGGGUCAAAGGAGCAAUUCGCUUCAGGAGGGGGUCGCGGCCGAUUAGUUAGUUGGCGGGGUAAUGGCCCACCAAGACAGUGAUCGGUAUCCGGCCUGAGAGGGCGCACGGACACACUGGAACUGAAACACGGUCCAGACUCCUACGGGAGGCAGCAGUGGGGAAUUUUGCGCAAUGGGGGAAACCCUGACGCAGCAACGCCGCGUGGAGGAUGAAGUACUUCGGUACGUAAACUCCUUUCGAUCGGGACGAUAAUGACGGUACCGGAAGAAGAAGCCCCGGCUAACUUCGUGCCAGCAGCCGCGGUAAUACGAGGGGGGCAAGCGUUGUUCGGAAUUAUUGGGCGUAAAGGGUGCGUAGGCGGUUUGGUAAGUCUUUUGUGAAAUCUAUGGGCUCAACUCAUAGACUGCAAGGGAAACUGCCGGGCUUGAGUAUGGGAGAGGUGAGUGGAAUUCCUGGUGUAGCGGUGAAAUGCGUAGAUAUCAGGAGGAACACCUGUGGCGAAAGCGGCUCACUGGACCAUAACUGACGCUGAUGCACGAAAGCUAGGGGAGCAAACAGGAUUAGAUACCCUGGUAGUCCUAGCCCUAAACGAUGACUGCUUGGUGUGACGGGUACCCAAUCCCGCCGUGCCGUAGCUAACGCGUUAAGCAGUCCGCCUGGGGAGUACGGUCGCAAGGCUG
rnacentral:rRNA from 1 species